UACGUAGGGUGCAAGCGUUGUCCGGAAUUAUUGGGCGUAAAGAGCUCGUAGGCGGUCUGUCGCGUCGGCUGUGAAAACCCGGGGCUCAACCCCGGGCCUGCAGUCGAUACGGGCAGACUAGAGUGCGGUAGGGGAGACUGGAAUUCCUGGUGUAGCGGUGAAAUGCGCAGAUAUCAGGAGGAACACCGGUGGCGAAGGCGGGUCUCUGGGCUGAACCUGACGCUGAGGCGCGAAAGCAAGGGGAGCAAACAGG
rnacentral:rRNA from 1 species